rnacentral:snRNA from 1 species
AAACAAAAACCCAGAAGAUAAUAUGAUCAAGAGGUGGUUUUCUUGGGGUGAUGUUCAGUUAUACUCUAGGUGUGUUGACUCCAGUGAUUUCCUAAAAUGUGGGAACUUGACUGCAUGAUUUGUGAUAAUGAGGUACCACAUUCUCACUUUC